CGGCGGACGGGUGAGUAACACGUGGGUAACCUACCUAUAAGACUGGGACAACUUGGGAAACCGGAGCUAAUACCGGAUAAGAUAUCGAACCGCAUGGUUCGAUAGUGAAAGAUGGUUUUGCUAUCACUUAUAGAUGGACCCGCGCCGUAUUAGCUAGUUGGUGAGGUAACGGCUCACCAAGGCAACGAUACGUAGCCGACCUGAGAGGGUGAUCGGCCACACUGGAACUGAGACACGGUCCAGACUCCUACGGGAGGCAGCAGGU
rnacentral:rRNA from 1 species